GUUGAGCAUACCCACGAAGAGUUUUCUAUCUUCUGGAACAAAAUUAGGAGAUGCUUACCCGGGCCAAGGGCCCGGAGGCGCGGGAUGGGCCCGCGGGAGGAGGAAGGGUUACGGAGGGGAAGGGGAUGGUGGCUCUGUGGAAACCAGUCACCAUGCUGGAAAGAGCCUCUAACUGGACCACACCAGGAGUCCACACGGAAAGGAUCCCAGGCCUCCAGCUGACAGCCAGCAUCAGCCACCAGACAUGGAGUGAAUGAGUCCUGAGAUGAUUCCAGGCCCCAGCUCAUGAGUCUUCCAGCCGAGGCCCAGACAGCCAGGAGGAGAGACAGGCCUUCCAAGCUGUGCCCAGCCUGAAUUCCUGACCCACAGAAUCCAUGAGUGUAGUAAAUGGUUGUUUUACACUA